CCUCUGAUUGGGAUGCUUUCAUCACAUCUGCCUGCGAUCAUCAAUCAUGAUCUCUAUUUCUUUGCAGACUGAGAAGUAGGUGAGGUUGGAAGGACUCUUCUGGAGAUACUGUUAGCUGAAAGAAGCAAGUUUUCGCACAGAUUGAUGGAAACAGAGAUAAUCAACGAUCUUCAAAGCUGAAGCAUCUUCCGGCUCUUUGUUCUCCUGCCUUCUUUCGGGCACCGCGGGGGCCUUCAGAGUAUAAAGAUGAGCAAAUCAUGCCCAGGUGGAAGGCUUUUCACAUGCAAAUUGUCAAUAUCAUUGUGAUGUGGCAUUUUUAUUAAUCCAAACCAGCUUAUCGGACCAAAAAGAAAGAAAGAUCAUUCUGUUUCAUAUCAAACAUUUUGUUCUGACAAUGCUUUUUUGUUGCUGCUACACCACUUUGGUAAUAAAGACUGUGACAGGCUUGGAUUCCUCCUUCUGAUGGCAAAAAUCCCUGAGAAGAGAAAAUCAAUGAGGGUUUUAGCUCCAUCCAAGGAAAAUAAGGGCUUUUCCUUUCAGCCUAUGAGAUGAGGAGUGGGGAUGCUUUCUGAGGCAAUUCAGCAGGGAGCAGGCCACAAAGUCUUGAACCCUUCUGAUGUGGCUAAAUUCAGAUUCACCAACAUUAGGCCAUCUCCCAAGGUCUCAGCUAGGGCUGUCUCAGUGGUAUGCCUUUAAAGUAACCAUAUUCACUUCCCCGUGCCUAGGACACAUUAAUUUCUCCAGCAUUUGGGAGUCCUUUAAUAAGACCCCUGGUUCCUGCAGGAGGGGGGUGAAUGUACUUUAAUAUUGGACCUGGCUGCUUUGGAAUCUGGCUGGAAAAUUGUUACCCAAGGGCAAAUAAAGCCUGCAAGCUGCUUGGUUAUUACUAGUGUUCCUCCAUCAACAUGCAAAGGGGCUGUGGACUUUGUGCCGGAGUCAUACCCCCAAUACCUUGCCAUGGGCUAUGCAGCAAGAAGGUGGAGAGCAUUGAACCUACAGCAUCGGCAUCCUUCCCUCCUGCUGAUGAACAUACUGGGGAUGAAAAGACAUCGCACCCCUUGACAGCUGCCUGCCCAUCACCACAGGAACCACCGUUUCAUUGGAGAAAGCACCUGGAGGCCGUCUCCUUGCCAGUAAUGGGGCAAUGAAACGUCGCGACCCUGGUUAGUCCAGGCUCCCAUCCAUCAUGCCUGUUUAUCCCGUCAGAGCACUGUUUAGCUGUAUAAAAUGGGCUGUAAACUUUGUUCACUUUGGCUGACAGCUAUGAUAAAGGCUGUGUGCAUUUUACAGCCUCACGAGUUGGGAGGAGAAAGGUCCCCCGAGACCUCCCGCUGCUCCGGGUCCCAUCAUCUGUCAUGGCAUGGGAACGACCCAGUGGUCAUCUUCUCCAGCCCCCCUUCGCUCGGUCAGGUGCCGCUACCAUUCUUGGUGACAGAUUAAAAACAUAACAUAUUACUCUACCACAACAGUCUAUUUUCGACAGUUUGCUCUCAUCUUCCUGCAACCCAUCUUACAAAUGAGACAUAAAAUUGAGGCUCCGGAUGCUUAUGGACCCAAUCCUGCAGCAUUUAUGCACCUGUUUAAGUUGAAUCAUGUGAGGAUUCGCAGGGGAUUGAACGAGGGGAAUGCCUAAUACUUGAGGAACUAUGGCAAUUGCUCCAAAGCAGUUUGCAGUUCUUCAGGAUAAAGAGCCAUGCAUAAAACUAGGAUGCAUUAUCUUCUCCUCCACCAAUUCUGUCCGGAAUGCUCUAAAGGAUGGACUCAGAGCAAAAGCAGGAUAAAAUGUACUUGCCUGCAGUCAGUACCUCUUACACUCAUUUCUUGCUAUCCCUAGCGUAAGACUCCUGGUAGAGCAGAAGUUGGCUGUCAGCAGUGCAACAAAAUGCAACAAAAUCACCAGGUUUUCACUAUGGAGUUGCAUUUGGUGAUGUUACAAAGCCUCGUUAAUUGAUUACAACAUGAUUCAGCAAGCUGCGCUCUUCCUGAGUCUUCUCCAUAGCUUGCUGCCCCUCCAUUCAAAAUCCGGCUGUGCUCCAAGGGUCUGGUCCCCGUGUUUGAAGCCCGAGCAGCUGAAGAAUGACCUUUCUCUCUGACCUACAUCUUUCAUAGGAAUAAAGCAACAGAUGAUACCAAGUACAGGAUUCACAGAGCUCUUUGUGCGAGCCCCUACAGCGGAGCUCCCCAGUGAAGGGCAUCAAGCUUAACUCUCAGCUCACCCUGCAAGGAGGCUUUUUCAUUCCGCUUAAUAGCAGCAUUUCCACCGACUUAUGCAGGAGCACAGUCAAAUCCCAGCAUGUCUUUUAACACCAGCUACUCCUUGGCAGAAGGAGCAUCUCGGCAAAUUGGACAUCCCUGCCUCCUGCGAGAGGUUUCUUCCAGGCAAACCCACUCCCAUCACACGCAGAACGAUUCCCCACUUUUUGCUCAGCCCCCGUUGGGCUUUCUCUUCCUGCACGUCGCCACCGUGAUUGGCAACCGAAGCAGAAAGAUCAGACAAAAGAAGGCUGAGGCACCACCUGGGACAGAGCUGAAAGAGAUGCAGGAGCAGAUAUCUCCAUCUGCCUUCUCGAUGCUUUGUGAGGCCGGGACGCCAGCUGCGGUGUGGUGCUCCCGGAUCCCAGGGGACUGCUGCUCUGCCCCGCUGCAUCUCGGGAAGCCCCGAUGGCAGCGGCAGCACCCCCAAGGUCACCUUCCUCAUCCUCAGGCUGGUCACACUGCUGCCAGACUCCAGAGUAUGGUGAGCUGGAGGAGUCCAGAAAGGGUAAAACAGAAGGACAAUGAGUGUUUUAUCGGAUGUACGCAGAAGGUAAAUUUUGGGGCUACUUACUGUACCUAAAAUCACUUUCUCUCCAGGGGCCUGAAUGUGUUCUAUUAGAAAAUCUGCAUAUGAGCCUGUAAAUUUGCCAUAUAUACUGUAGUGUAAUAGUACCAGACUCACCUAUGUUGUAUUUUUUACCUAUAAAUGUGACAGUGACAUGCUUAUCUCCUCUUUCUACAAGAGUUUCACAAAUCCCCAGGAAAGCAAACCUCCCGCAACCUUCUCCCAUUUGAUCCAGAUAAAGAGGAAAGUCCUCCACGGAGGGCAUGAACAUGAAACCCACGUUAGGCACCCAGGAGCAUAGGGACACGCUCAGCCCCACCGCAAAGCACCUCGGCACCACUGCUAGGAAUCGCAGGAUGCGACCGACAGCCCUCCCAUGCCCUGAGCAUCGCACUUCUGUGUUGAUGCAAAAAGCCACGCACAAAAGGGAAAAUGGCAGCUUUCCAAGUGGCCCCAGUUAAUAGCUCUGUUUUGCUUAAUGGUGCCUCCCAUUCAGACUAAAGAUGCUGUUUUAAAUAUGUAAGCAAUUAGUAUCUCUCUCUCUCUCAGCAACACAUCUGUGCUUCUUCUAUCUGCUGCAUUACAAAUCUGCUGCGUCCCUCUCCAGCUCGGCGGCGCGUGUAUCGCCAGAUAUCCUGGUCUUCAGCAACUUUCUGGGCUGCAGGAAUUACAGCUGGCUGCCGAGGUGCUCCUGCCUGGCCCUGCCUAAGCCUUCGGCACUGCCGUCCUCUCCUCAGCUGGUGCUGAGCUGACAUGUAAUAGGGGUGCAGGGAAAGGGACCUUUUGGUCUGGUUUUGGCCAUUCUUUGGUCCAGCCUGAUGUUUUUUCCUUCUUCCUAGCUGCCACUUUCACACACUUUUGUCUCCUUUUCUGGAGAGGAGCCGCAGCCUUUUCUCUCCGUACCAAACUGCAGGUUGCCCACAGGAGCGUGGCCAGGACGCACCCAGGGGUUUCUGCU